ensembl:lncRNA
CGCCGCCAGGGGGCGAUCGCUCCCCAGCGCAGCUGACUGAGGGGCGGCGGCGUCCCGUGCGCCGUCCCGGCACCUGCGUAGCGCUUCCAACGUGGAGUUUCGAGCUUGCCGUCCCGCAGUGUCACACAGUCACCCACGUGGGGCUCGUCCCGAGAAGGAACGUCUCCUGAGGUUGCACGCAGCACCCCGCACAGCCUUCCGCUGGCUGCCUAGGCGGGAGGUGGCACGUCCUCACAGGCACUGCCUUCCCUGCCCCUCACAGAACAUCACCGUAGCAGAGGGCACACAGAGGAUAUGAGCCCAGCCUGGUGCUGACUGCACCGUGCCCCGCUCCUCAGCCAUCAUCGCCAUCUUGGCCACCUCAGCACGUCACAGGGAUCAAAGCAAACCUCUCUGAACGGUUCUGCUCUCACCACUAGUUACACAGUUUCCAUUCAGGAGGAAGCUACAAGGCACAGGCUAGUUCUUGCUGGCAGCACAGCCAGCACCGUUCUGAGCCGGGAUCUCUCUUUGGAGGUCACUGCAGCAGGAGCCGGGGCAGGCUGGCAGUGUGUGGUAGCGGCCGUUGGCACAGGGUUACCUCAGCGUCCUGUCAGGGCACUGAGCGCCACAGAGCAGAUGGGAUCCCAGUCUUCCCGCCAUUUCUAUGUCUGUAAAACUUUCCCAAAGUGCAAAAUUUCAUGCUUUUUGGAGAAGAAUCAAAGCUACCAGGCUUUCUUGAUGAAAAUAUUAAUUGCUAGUGCCAGGCAAGGACCUGGGCUCCAGAAGCUCCCCCAGCCGUGGCCUCAGCACCUGGUGAAAUGGCAAUGCUCAUCCUCUUUGCUCUCCUCCGCCUCCAGACGUCCCAGCCAGGUAAAAGCAAUGUGAAGAAACAAGGGCUUUGUUUUCCUCAUGAAAUUAAUACUCCUUGCAAAUAUAUAUAUAUAUUUCCAAGUGCUUCCCUGAGGGGGGAAAUAAGGGAUAGAAGGUGGCAAGGUUGCAAGGUGACAGGGCAGUGCUGGUGGCCUGGCAUCCCCUGAGGGGCCCACCUGGUAUGGACACCUCCAGUGAUGUGACCCAGCAUGGAAAAGAUGCCCAAAAGAUGCUCUGUAAGACAGCAUGAGGCCUUCAGUCAUGGGCACGCGUGCUGUGAGGCAGGGUGAUUACCCUCACCAGUGGCAUACAUAUCAAAGCACCCAGAGCAAGAAUAAACAAAUAUCUUUGGCUCUGUACUCAUCUUCCAUUAGCCAAAAGGCAGGUGUGGUUGGGGGGAGGGGGAUAUAGCCAGUUUUCCAGCCAUUUCCCUGAACUCAACCCUCAUGUUGCAAGAGCUGCCUAGCUGUGAAAAAACAGCCUCGCCUUGAUUUAUGCUGCUUGUGGGUAAGAUGACUAAGAAAAAGGGGAAAGAAAAAAAAAAAAAAAGAGCAGAACAGGACCAGAAAUCCCAAUGGGAGCUCAGUGUGGGUGUGUACCAAUUUGGUGGGACAGUCAGGUUGGGGAAACUCCAGCCAGAGCUGCGAGCGGUAGGAAGAAGAGACCACAAACCACAUGGCAGCUCCGGUCUGCGUGGCUCAGCAGUUAUGGGAACCUACCAGGUCUCUAAAUGGGCACAGUUGUGGAUCAUGUCUCUCAAUAAGCUUGCUUUGAUAUUUUUGGUAAAUUCUCGUGAUGUCCUCACCGAUUCUCAUUUGGCUAUGCAUGUGGAAGUCUUCAGACAUGUGUGCAGUCAAAUGCUAGCCAUGUUUUCAAUCAACACAAUUCAUUUUUUAGAUUAUGGCUGUAAGAGAUUUUCAGGCUGUGUUGACAAGCCCAGUCCUUAAAAAAAAAAAAAAAAAAAGCCUCAAACCAGUGUGCUUUGGGGAGAAGAGAGAGUAGGUGACAUCCAUUCUGGGAAGGAAGAAGCAAGAAUACCAAGAUCUGGCACCCUGGCCUGUGUUUGCUCUGAUGAUGCAUCGCCAUGUGCUCUGUGUCUUUUGGAAACACUACCCUUUCCAUGCCACGUCGUGGAUCGCCAGAUGAGGAAGCUUGGCCCAAAAUAAACGCCAGGCUGCUUUUCAUCUCUGGGAUUUGUUUGUGCCAAGCGAACAAAGUGACUUCUUUGUGGCUGUUUGCAUUUGUCGUUCCAAGUUGUCUGAGCGCAAGGUUAUAAAUACGCACCAGGGUUUGAUAGCCUCAAUAUGUCCAGUCAGACAAGCCUUGCGUGCUGGCAAGAGAAGGAUUUGGCUUGCCUUAAUUAUUUUUGUUUUAAUAGUUUUUAAAAUGUUUGAUAUAAAUCAAAGAUACUGUAAAUAAAACUCAGGAGGACGGGGUUCCUCCCUUAGCCAUUUUGUAGAUUGGGUUUCUGACCAGUGAUUAUUGGCGAACUUUCUGUUACAUAUUUGUAUUCUUUGCAGUCAUGUAUGUAAAGGGAUGCUGUCAAGUUAAGUAUGUAAUUUAAUGUCAAUGACAUUUUUCGUACGGAAAUGAAAUGAUGUCAGUAUUCUAUCAACUUACCUCCUCUUAGAGGAGAUGCAAAGUAUGAGAGGAACGUGAGACGCUGAGUUGUUCUGAGCUGUGCCUUAGGACUGCUAAUAGCCAAGGCUGCUGCCCUGGGCCGGUGACAAAAAGGCCCAUUAAUCAGCAGUGACUGGGCAGUCUGGGGUAAAUCCUGAGCCUUGGGGACUGUUAGCCAAAUCCUGACUGCUUCAUUUGGGAAUGUUCGACCUACUCGACUUGAUUUUUUUUCUGCGCUCACCCUCAGCCCCCACCGCUGAAAAGUAAUACUGGUGAAAAGUGCCUCAUUGGGAAUAUAAUUUUAUGGAAAACAUUUUAUUUUUGUAUCCAAAUCUUCCAGUCAGUGUAGGGUUUUCCAUUUGCUUUUAGCAAAGGCUAUUUUUCACUAUUUUUCUUGUCCAAAAUUCUUAUUAAGAAACUGAAUGCUUUUACCAAAAAUGGGCAUCUUUUCCUUCUCCUUCACCCCCUUCUCCAUACACAACAUCCCUCAGACCCCUGAAAACAAUCUAAUUGAAAGAAAGCACAUUUCUGUUAAAAAUUUCCCAUGGAAAUGAUUUUGUUGUGGUUAAUGUCUGUUCUGUCUCUCUUCUGUCUGGAGCUGGAAGAAAAUUCCUCAAAAUCAUUAUCAGCCAGUGCAUCUCUAUAGCCUGAGUGAACUUCUAAACAUCUCAUUUAUUCCUUAAUGGAACAAUCCAGAAACCAUAACUGUGGUCUCUGGUUUAUUUGUAAUUUGUAUACUGAAAUAGAUAUUUGAACAGUGAUUUGAAAAUCGAAAAUUGGUCAAAGAUCUCACAACCUUUAAGACUUGUGUCAAAGAAAAUGCACUUACUGGUUGCAGCAGUAUGCUGUGAAUUGUAUGUAUACAUAGGCCCUUACAUAUAUAUAUAAGUUGGAAAUGAAAGAUCGUGGGAUAAGCUUUGUAUGCUGAAUUUUAGCAUAUCUCUGUAACAAGCUUCAUUCUGAGAGCAACUACCAUCCUGGGCAGGAGACAGAUGGGCUCAGGUCUGUUUCAUGCAGUGUAUGUUUCUUCUUUUGCAUUCUCGUGCAAAAAGAAGCUACAGUGCCCCGUACAUGUGUGUUAGCACAGGAAGAUGCAUGCUGUAUCUGUGUGUACUGAAAUGGGCAGCCUCAUCCUGCUGCAGACUUUCUAAUGUAGUGUGAAUGAUCACUUACAGAGUCUGGUCCACAUGUGAAAAGCACAGAAGAAAAUAGAUGCUUGGAUAUGUGUCCCUUUGUAAAUGCAGUCUGUGGCAAUGGGCUUCUUACUUGCAAUUAUUCCUCCGUGUGUAAGUUAGGAGGCAUAUAAUAUAAAUUGAAGCCUAAUUUUUUCUUUGAAGCUAUUAACACCCACCCACAUGCAACAGGAAACAGACUUCAAUUUUAAUUAGUACCAACACAUCGAAAAUUCACCCUAUAUUUGCCUUCAAGUGCAGCAAAGCAGCUUCAAAGCUAAAAGCUUCUUCACUUUCUAAGUAAUAAUGAGGUAUUAAUGAGGCAAUUAGGGGCUUGUAAACAUGGUGUCAAAGAGAUAUGAACUAAUCACCAGCAACAGGAAAAAGACAGAUCCCUCUGACUUCAGUGCUCUGCACUCUCCCUAGCCCCCUGAGGCAUUCUGUGCUUGUAAACUAAUCCGCAAAAAUGUUCUAGAUUAAUUCAAAACACUAUCCUCCUUUUAAUUCCCUGACUGUCUUCAGGCUUGUUUCUGAAUAGAUGCUCUGUGUGAAGGCUUUUAAAUAGGCACUUUUGUUAUUGCAAUAAAACCCA